AUUGAACGCUGGCGGCAGGCCUAACACAUGCAAGUCGAGCGGAUGAAGGGAGCUUGCUCCUGGAUUCAGCGGCGGACGGGUGAGUAAUGCCUAGGAAUCUGCCUGGUAGUGGGGGAUAACGUCCGGGAACGGGCGCUAAUACCGCAUACGUCCUGAGGGAGAAAGUGGGGGAUCUUCGGACCUCACGCUAUCAGAUGAGCCUAGGUCGGAUUAGCUAGUUGGUGGGGUAAAGGCCUACCAAGGCGACGAUCCGUAACUGGUCUGAGAGGAUGAUCAGUCACACUGGAACUGAGACACGGUCCAGACUCCUACGGGAGGCAGCAGUGGGGAAUAUUGGACAAUGGGCGAAAGCCUGAUCCAGCCAUGCCGCGUGUGUGAAGAAGGCCUUCGGAUUGUAAAGCACUUUAAGUUGGGAGGAAGGGCAGUAAGUUAAUACCUUGCUGUUUUGACGUUACCAACAGAAUAAGCACCGGCUAACUUCGUG
rnacentral:rRNA from 1 species